rnacentral:rRNA from 1 species
UACGGGGGGAGCAAGCGUUGUUCGGAUUUACUGGGCGUAAAGGGCGCGUAGGCGGCCACCGCAAGUCGGUUGUGAAAUCUCCGGGCUUAACCCGGAAAGGUCAACCGAUACUGCGGGGCUAGAGUGCAGAAGGGGCAAUCGGAAUUCUUGGUGUAGCGGUGAAAUGCGUAGAUAUCAAGAGGAACACCUGAGGUGAAGACGGGUUGCUGGGCUGACACUGACGCUGAGGCGCGAAAGCCAGGGGAGCAAACGGG